AUGCUUACCUGGCAGGGGAGAUGCCAUGAUCUCGAAGGUGGUUUUCCCAGGGCGAAGCUUAUCCACUGCACUCCGGACGUGCUGACCCCUGUGAUUUCCCCAAAAUGUGGGAAACUCGACUGCGUAAUUUGUGGUAGUGGGGGACUGUGUUUGCACUUCCCCCGG
rnacentral:snRNA from 1 species